rnacentral:lncRNA from 1 species
CCUGGUACAGUAAUUGCUGAAGAAAAUAUUAAAGAGCCCCCAAUAGCUUCUUGUUUUUACUUUCCACUAAUAGGUUAAAAUACGUAGAAAUUACCCUUCUUAUUUCUGCCCUUCAUUUGAGAACCCCCUGUUCCUUCCAUGUUCUUGAGAACGUUUCUUUUUUAGCCUCAGAGAUUUCCUCCUUGCUGGUAGCCGAACUGGAAUGAAAUGGAUUUAUUUUGAUCUAUUACAAUAAAAAUAGCAAGUGUCAGUUUCUCCAGAAAUGGGGCUGUAUAUUUUGUGCUUUGUCUUCACUAAUAAAGCCAACGAAAAUGGAAAGCUAGAAUAUUUGCAGUUGUCAAAUGCGCCACCGAUGAAUGAUGUGUCUGAAGGCCAAAUGUUGUUUUCAGUUGGUUUUGUGGCAUGUUUGUAGAGAAAAUUAAUUGCUGGAGGAAAAUAAGGCAACAACGCUAAAAAGAUGACAUCCCUUUUGCUAACAAAAUUCCAUUUCCCAUUUUUUCGGGGUGUGUGUGGUUUUGUUUGUUCAAGCUCUGCCUUCAAUAACCUGCCUUCUUUUUAUUAUAAGAAAUGUGCAGAAUAAGUUAAGCUUGAAGGAAAUGGAAGAAUGGUUUAAUCAGCAUGGGCAACUCAGGAAGCAUUUCAGUCUUUGCAGAGAUCGUGAACAGAGCACGAACCAUUCCCCCUGUUUCCCUACCUUUCUCUCUUCCAGCCCUCUUUCCCCUUCUCAGACAAUAUCUUUUCAUGCCCAGUUCAGAUCACCCAUGAUAGAGCUUUCAUUCCAGUGCUCUUCUUACAGAAAUGGAUAAAAUUGCCCUCUUUCCCCUGUUAUAGUCAUGAAUUAAAAACAACAACAACGAAUUACCUCUUAGAGAUGUGUGCAAACAGCCUUUUGGGAAUGUGUGGUUUCAAGCGUCACCCCUGGUAGCAGCUGGCUGGAAUUUUCCACCCAGUUUUCAAACAAAGUAUUGCAAAAUAAUCUGCAUGUACCAACCACAGUCCCCAAAUCACCUCCUCUAGAAGUGUAAGAUUCCUGUUUGGCUGGGGGACGGGGGCUGGGGAAAAGGCAAAAUAGAAAUGUAGCAGCCUCCAUCAAAGGUCUGGGUUUAAAAUUUGUUCUAAAAACCAGGCAUGAGAAGCCAAUUAAAGCCACCUCAAGAUGGGGAGACCCAAAGAAGGCAG